CAAAAGCGUAUAUUAAAGUUGUUGCAGUUAAAAAGCUCGUAGUUGAACCUUGGGCUUGGCUGGCCGGUCCAUCUUUUUUGAUGCGUACUGGACCCAGCCGAGCCUUUCCUUCUGACUAGCCUUUUGGCGAACCAGGACUUUUACUUUGAAAAAAUUAGAGUGUUCAAAGCAGGCCUUUGCUCGAAUAUAUUAGCAUGGAAUAAUAGAAUAGGACGUUAUGGUUCUAUUUUGUUGGUUUCUAGGACCAUCGUAAUGAUUAAUAGGGACGGUCGGGGGUAUCAGUAUUCAGUUGUCAGAGGUGAAAUUCUUGGAUUUACUGAAGACUAACUACUGCGAAAGCAUUUACCAAGGACGUUUUCAUUAA
rnacentral:rRNA from 1 species